rnacentral:rRNA from 1 species
GGUAGUCCACGCCGUAAACGAUGAUCAUUAGUUGGUGGGAGAAUCUCGCUAACGCAGCUAACGCAUUAAAUGAUCCGCCUGAGUAGUAUGCUCGCAAGAGUGAAACUUAAAGGAAUUGACGGGGACCCGCACAAGCGGUGGAGCAUGUGGUUUAAUUUGACGAUACGCGUAGAACCUUACCCACUCUUGACAUCCUCUGCAAAGCUAUAGAGAUAUAGUC